AAGAAACAAUAAAAUAAAGUCCUAAAAUAUUUAAAUGGGUGUUGUAGGCCUUCAGAGAUGACGGUGAAAAUACUGAGAAUUUAUGAGGCUGUGGUUUUUCUUUGAGAAAUGUAAAACUAAUAAAGCUUCUUCCUGAGUGUUUCUGUGGUGCUGCUUUCGGGCUGUUCUAACAAGUCUAGCAGGAACAGCGGAUCCCUUAAAUGGUGGUAAUGGGAAGAUAUCCCUCAGUUUCUUACUAGCGCUGGAAAUAUAGGAACUUUCUGUAAGUGAAACUGUGUUCUGAUCGUGGAAUUAAGGUGUUAAGCCCAUGGAAAUGGAUUUUCUUAUGUUUCCAUCAUUAUAAGGAGUUUUCAUUUUAAAAGAGGCUAUGGUAGAAGUGAGCAAUUUCCGUAAUAGACGGAGAAUCACUUCACUGCGCGGAUGUGUAUUUUCUGGCCUUCCUUCAAGCCUAGAGGGAUAACCAUGGAGGGUUCGUCUGAGUCUGCUUGGCAGAACUCUGAUAGUUCUAGGGGAUUGAAUACUUCUGGUGUAUCAGAUAGGAACCUGGUCCGUCCACCACAGGACAAGGAGUCUGAUAGAGUCUUGCUGGCUCAUAAUGAUCCCCUAAGGAAUCAGAUAGAUUCGUCUAGGUUGUUUGAGGAUGAGGCAGCAGCGGAACCUUUUGGCCAUGACGUAGAAUGGGGUGAUGUUAGCUUGAGGCAGUGGUUAGACAGACCGGAAAGAUCUGUUGAUGUCUUUGAAUGUAAACAUAUCUUCAGGCAAAUAGUGGAAAUUGUUAAUGCGGCACAUUCACAGGGAGUUGUUGUUCAUAAUGUCCGACCUUCCUGCUUUGUCAUGUCUUCUUUUAGCCGUGUCUCCUUCAUUGAGUCUGCCUCUUGUUCAGAUUCAGGGUCAGAUUCCCUGGAGGAUGAAUUAAACAACCAAACUAUGGAGGUUAAAGAACCAUUCUCACCCUCGCACAUGCGCCAGCAGAGAAGCAGAUUAGGAGUUGAAGAUUUUACAGCCGAGCCUGAUCGGACUGGUGCUUUUUCAGAAGCUAGUUGCAUGCAGUCUAGUUCAGCUUAUGCGAUGAAUGCUUCAUUAGCGGAAGAUGCUCUAGUAAAUAGAAUAAGAGAUUGGAGGAAUGUUGAACAAGUUGAUGAGCAGAAGCAAUCAUUUCCAAUGAAACAAAUAUUACUUUUGGAGACCAACUGGUAUACUAGUCCAGAAGAGCUCACUGGUGCUCCGAGUUCUUGUGCGUCAGAUAUAUAUCGACUGGGAGUUCUUCUUUUUGAGUUAUUCUGUCCAUUUUGCUCGAGAGAAGAGAAAAGCAGAACUAUGUCUAGUUUGAGACAUAGGGUUCUUCCUCCUCAAUUGCUGCUGAGAUGGCCAAAAGAAGCAUCAUUUUGCUUAUGGCUACUGCAUCCUGAGCCAACCAGUCGACCAAAAAUGAGUGAAUUGUUACAGAGUGAGUUUCUUAACGAACCUAGAGAUAACUUGGAAGAACGUCAAGCAGCAAUAGAGCUCAGAGAGACAAUAGAGGAGCAGGAGUUGCUGUUGGAAUUCCUUAUGCUGAUAAAGCAAAGAAAACAGGAAGCUGCUGAUAAGUUGGAAGAUACUGUUUCUUUUUUAUGUUCCGAUAUUGAGGAAGUUAUAGGCCUGCUUAAAUUUCUCAAGAAAAAGAGAGGCUCGUGCACAGAACAGGGAAAGGAUGAUUAUUUAAUGUCAAAAUUCCCUUCUUCAGAAACUGGUGAUGAUGGUGGUUUUGCUAGCCUGGGCUCCAGGAAACGUUUUAGAGCAGGAGUUAAUAUGGAAGUUAUCGAAGAUUGUGAUGACAAUUUAGAGGAUGCCCAGAACUCAGAUGCACUUGUUACCCAAGAACAGGAGAGCAUUCUCCUUAAAAGUUCUCGAUUGAUGAAGAAUUUUAAGAAACUCGAGGCAGCUUAUUUUUUGACAAGGUGCAGACCGAUCAAGGCAUCGAGGAAACCACUGAAUGUGCAUUCACCAAUGAGUAGUGAUGGGAGAGGGUCAGUUGUUGUAACUGAAAGGAGUUCUGUCAGUAACUUAGCAUCAAAAGAACAAUAUAGCAGUAAACAAAGUGGAUGGAUAACUCCAUUUGUUGAGGGAUUGUGCAAGUAUCUAUCUUUCAGUAAGCUAAGAGUUAAGGCAGACCUGAAGCAGGUUGAUUUAUUGAAUUCCUCAAAUCUAGUAUGUUCUCUCAGUUUUGAUCGUGAUGGAGAAUUUUUUGCUACAGCUGGUGUAAAUAAGAAGAUUAAAGUGUUUGAGUGUGAUACAAUAAUGAAUGAAACUCAUGAUAUACACUAUCCUGUAGUUGAAAUGUCCAGUAGGUCUAAGCUUAGCAGUAUUUGUUGGAAUAGCUACAUCAAAAGUCAGAUUGCUUCAAGUAACUUUGAAGGUGUAGUGCAGGUAUGGGAUGUUACAAGAAGUCAAGUACUUACGGAAAUGAGAGAACACGAGAGGCGUGUAUGGUCCAUUGACUUUUCAUCAGCAGAUCCAACAAUGUUAGCUAGCGGGAGUGAUGAUGGUUGUGUUAAGCUAUGGAGUAUCAAUCAGGCAAUUCUAUUUUUGCACUUGGUGGCUGUCAGCUUUCAAACUAAAUGGCGUAAGCAUUGGUACUAUCAAGACAAAGGCCAAUGUCUGCUGUGUUCAGUUUCCCAUGGAUUCCAGUCGCAAUCUUGCAUUUGGCUCAGCAGAUCAUAAAAUUUAUUACUACGAUCUACGAAACUCAAGAGCUCCUCUAUGCACAUUGGUUGGACACAAUAAAACUGUGAGUUAUGUCAAGUUCGUUGAUGUGGAAAAUCUUGUUUCUGCAUCUACGGAUAACACACUGAAGCUCUGGGAUCUGUCACUAUCAACAUCUCGAGUUAUCGAUACUCCCCUUCAAUCGUUCACGGGUCACGUGAAUGUGAAGAACUUCGUGGGAUUGUCAGUGUCCGAUGGCUACAUAGCAACUGGCUCUGAGACGAAUGAGGUUUUCAUCUACCACAAAGCUUUUCCUAUGCCAGCAUUGUCAUUCAAAUUUCAAAGUACAGACCCACUUUCUGGCCUCGAAACGGAUGAUGCUGCACAGUUUAUCUCUUCUGUUUGCUGGCGCAACCACUCCUCGACCUUGGUUGCUGCAAAUUCGACUGGGAAUAUCAAAGUUCUGGAGAUGGUCUAAUAUACAAUAUGCAGAUUGUUCAUGAAAUAUAAUAGCCAUCAAGAAACUAUUUUUGGCAUUAGAUCAUACUGGAUAUGAUUUACUUGAGAUGAGAACGAUUCGUAGAAAAUAUUGUAGAUAAGAAUACUUUUAUGAAAAAAAAGGAAGGGUUAAAGAAUUUUUAUUGUAAA